rnacentral:rRNA from 1 species
AACGUAGGUCACAAGCGUUGUCCGGAAUUACUGGGUGUAAAGGGAGCGCAGGCGGGAAGACAAGUUGGAAGUGAAAUCUAUGGGCUCAACCCAUAAACUGCUUUCAAAACUGUUUUUCUUGAGUAGUGCAGAGGUAGGCGGAAUUCCCGGUGUAGCGGUGGAAUGCGUAGAUAUCGGGAGGAACACCAGUGGCGAAGGCGGCCUACUGGGUACCAACUGACGCUGAGGCUCGAAAGUGUGGGUAGCAAACAGG